rnacentral:rRNA from 1 species
AACGCGAAGAACCUUACCAGGGCUUGACAUCCUCUGUAAAUGCAGAAAUGCAUUCCCCAUGGCAACAUGGCAGGGUGACAGGUGCUGCAUGGCUGUCGUCAGCUCGUGUCGUGAGAUGUUGGGUUAAGUCCCGCAACGAGCGCAACCCUCGUCGAGUGUUGCCAUCAUUUAGUUGGGCACUCACUCGAGACCGCCGUUGAUAAGACGGAGGAAGGUGGGGAUGACGUCAAGUCCGCAUGGCCCUUACGUCCUGGGCUACACACGUGCUACAAUGGCCGGUACAACGGGCAGCUAGUCCGCGAGGACAAGCUAAUCCCUUAAAACCGGUCUCAGUUCGGAUUGAAGGCUGCAACUCGCCUUCAUGAAGUCGGAAUCGCUAGUAACUGCAGAUCAGCUACGCUGCGGUGAAUACGUUCCCGGGCCUUGUA